GCCGUUUCCUCUGAAAAAGAUCAACUAAAGAGAAUACAAAAAAUGAGAGCCUAAGACCUAAGAGCAAAAAUACACAAAAAUGGGAGAACCUAAGAGAUCGGUCGUUUCUUGAUUUUAGGAGGGGACAAAAACUCUUCAUCUUCUUCCUAUUCUUUGAAAACAAAAGAACAACAAAAGAGAUCUCUAAAGCAAAAUCUUAGGACCGCCGCUAAUACACAAAGACCCCUCCCCCACCGAGCUUCUUCUUCUUCUUCAAUGAAAGACAAGCACCAUUCGUUUGAUUCUAACCUAGAGAGCUUUCAUUUUCCUAGAAACAUCAGAACCAUCUCCUUCUCAAAAAUCAAAUGUCACAGUCAUCUCUUCUUUGAAUAGAGAUGAAGGAUCUCUUUUCCUAAUUUUGAAAGAACAAAACCGGCGACCACCCCUGUCAUCAUCUUCAGCCACGCCACCCUUCCGAAACCCACCGGAAAAACUCAGUGGAACACUGCUCCAAGCCCACACCUUCUUCACAAAACAGUCACACAUAUACUCACGAGAGAGACAGAAAAUCGGGAUAGAGGGAGAGGAGAAAAGUUCUAGACGAACUUCGAUUGAGGUUUGGUUCUGAGUUCGUUCACCGAUUGGAGAGUUCCAUUGCCAAAUCGAGUUUCGCCAACUGGUUCACGGUCUCAGCUUCAUUCUUUGGCUUUAUUGUUGAUUUCUCUCGACUUUUCGCUGUUGUAUUCACUUGAGGUGAUUCCGAGCAGAAAUAAAUUGAAAUCUCACUUUCAGAUCUGAACGCUUAUGUUUUAUAUGAUCGAUUCGAGCUCGGCAUGGCAACGUAGUUAUUGGAGGGAUCAUGAAAUCAGUGAUGACUUGCUUGCAAUUUUCAUAAGUGUUUCGGCAUGUUCGUGUCAACUUUAAGUUGUUAGACUGUCACUAGAUAUUCUUUAUGUGUUUGUUGAACUAGUUUAGUCAUUCCAACAUUUUGAAGCAUGUCUCGUUGUGCUUAAAUCAGUUUGGUUGAUCAUUGUCGUCAUUUUAGGUACGAAAUAUCGAUGUCAUUGUUCGUGAUCUUCUUGGAAUAUUUGGAGGUUGUUUCUGUUAGCUUGACUUGAGAAAUGAUCUUGAGUCCCUGUUGAUUGUAUGUUUGGCGAUGUACAGAUCGAUCUAUACUUUUGUGAUAAAACAUUGAAGUUCUGUGUAUGUCGAGGUUCGAUACGGCAAUGCCUUAGUUUUCGAUUUCAUGAAAUUGGUUUUGUUUACCUUGUUAAGUUUGAACAUUGGUAUUAGGUUUGCUUGGAAUUUUACAUAUGGAUAUGGAAUCUGUGUAAUUAACCUCCCUGUUCUAGUUUUGAUUGAUUUAGUGGCUGAUUUUUCGGACCAUUCUGUGUUCAUUGCGAGUGUUUGUGAAAGAACCGAGUGCGCGAUGUUGCAUUUAUUCGUAUUUCCAUUGUCCACGUCUUCUGGAAUCCCGCAUCUAUUUUCCUUCUAAAUAAAUGCUCGACAUGUAUUUGGUGUUUGAUUGUGGAAGGCAAUUUGAUCAAGCGAAUUGUGUACUAAUUUGGCGCACCAACUGUUGGUGUAAGUUUGUGACAUCUUCCAAAAGUUGUACUCUUAUUCUAAAUACACGUAGUAGCAAUUUGAAAUCAAGUUCGUCAUCAAAAUACCACUUGAGCAGUAAGCAUCGAUGUGCACGAGUUUAGUCGGUGUAGAUUGCAAUCUGGAUUGUUUCGUUCUAUGUCUGUAUUUCAUUUGCUUCUUUCAGCUAUUUUCCCUAGUUUGAUUGAGCUAUAACUGGACAAACUUGAAAUCCUUAAUGGAGAAAUAUCUACUUCCAACUUUAUAUUUUUCUUCCUUCUCAA